rnacentral:rRNA from 1 species
AUUGAACGCUGGCGGCAGGCUUAACACAUGCAAGUCGAACGAGUGGCGGACGGGUGAGUAAUGCUUGGGAAUAUGGCUGAUGGAGGGGGAUAACUACGGGAAACUGUAGCUAAUACCGCGUACCAUAGGAUGAGCCCAAGUGGGAUUGGCUAGUAGGUGGGGUAAAGGCUCACCUAGGCGACGAUCCCUAGCUGGUCUGAGAGGAUGACCAGCCACACUGGGACUUAGACACGGUCCAGACUCCUACGGGAGGCAGCAGUGGGGAAUAUUGCACAAUGGGCGCAAGCCUGAUGCAGCCAUGCCGCGUGUAUGAAGAAGGCCUUAGGGUUGUAAAGUACUUUCAGCGAGGAGGCGUUACCCGCAGAAGAAGCACCGGCUAACUCCGUGCCAGCAGCCGCGGUAAUAC